GCCGGGUUAGCUCAGCUGGUAGAGCAGCUGAUUUGUAAUCAGUUGGUCGGGGGUUCGAGUCCUCUACCCGGCACCA
rnacentral:tRNA from 2 species